UCCUACGGGAGGCASCAGUGGGGAAUUUUGGACAAUGGGCGCAAGCCUGAUCCAGCCAUGCCGCGUGAGUGAAGAAGGCCUUCGGGUUGUAAAGCUCUUUCGGCGGGGAAGAAAUCGCAUUCUCUAAUACAGGAUGUGGAUGACGGUACCCGAAUAAGAAGCACCGGCUAACUACGUGCCAGCAGCCGCGGUAAUACGUAGGGUGCGAGCGUUAAUCGGAAUUACUGGGCGUAAAGCGUGCGCAGGCGGUUUCGUAAGACAGACGUGAAAUCCCCGGGCUCAACCUGGGAACUGCGUUUGUGACUGCGAGGCUAGAGUUUGGCAGAGGGGGGUGGAAUUCCACGUGUAGCAGUGAAAUGCGUAGAGAUGUGGAGGAACACCGAUGGCGAAGGCAGCCCCCUGGGCCAAUACUGACGCUCAUGCACGAAAGCGUGGGGAGCAAACAGGAUUAGAUACCCUGGUAGUCCACGCCCUAAACGAUGUCAACUAGGUGUUGGGAGGGUUAAACCUCUUAGUGCCGUAGCUAACGCGUGAAGUGACCGCCUG
rnacentral:rRNA from 1 species